rnacentral:rRNA from 1 species
ACGGAAGGCAGCAGUGGGGAAUAUUGCACAAUGGGGGAAACCCUGAUGCAGCGACGCCGCGUGAGUGAAGAAGUAUUUCGGUAUGUAAAGCUCUAUCAGCAGGAAAGAAAAUGACGGUACCUGACUAAGAAGCCCCGGCUAACUACGUGCCAGCAGCCGCGGUCAUACGUAGGGGGCAAGCGUUAUCCGGAUUUACUGGGUGUAAAGGGAGCGUAGACGGCUUUGCAAGUCUGAAGUGAAAGCCCGGGGCUCAACCCCGGAACUGCUUUGGAAACUGUAGAGCUAGAGUGCAGGAGAGGUAAGUGGAAUUCCUAGUGUAGCGGUGAAAUGCGUAGAUAUUAGGAGGAACACCAGUGGCGAAGGCGGCUUACUGGACUGUAACUGACGUUGAGGCUCGAAGGCGUGGGGAGCAAACAGGAUUAGAUACCCUGGUA